AGAUCAAGCUACAAAGGGCGCACGGUGAAUGCCCUGGCACUAGGAGCCGAUGAAGGACGUGAUAAGCUGCGAUAAGCCCCUACAUGUAGGCGCACAUAGCCUGUGAUAUGUA
rnacentral:rRNA from 1 species